GUGCUCGCUUCAGCAGCACAUAUACUAAAAUUGGAACGAUACAGAGAUUAGCAUGGCCCCUGCGCAA
rnacentral:snRNA from 1 species